UACGUAGGGCGCAAGCGUUGUCCGGAAUUAUUGGGCGUAAAGAGCUCGUAGGUGGCUUGUUGCGUCUGCCGUGAAAGCCCGUGGCUUAACUACGGGUCUGCGGUGGAUACGGGCAGGCUAGAGGCUGGUAGGGGCAAGCGGAAUUCCUGGUGUAGCGGUGAAAUGCGCAGAUAUCAGGAGGAACACCAAUAGCGAAGGCAGCUCGCUGGGACGGUACUGACGCUAAGGCGCGAAAGCGUGGGGAGCAAACAGG
rnacentral:rRNA from 1 species